rnacentral:rRNA from 1 species
UACGGGGGGGGCUAGCGUUGUUCGGAAUUACUAGGCGUAAAGGGCGCGUAGGCGGCCUACUAAGUCGGACGUGAAAUCCCUCGGCUCAACCGGGGAACUGCGUCCGAUACUGGUGGGCUCGAAUCCGGGAGAGGGAUGUGGAAUUCCAGGUGUAGCGGUGAAAUGCGUAGAUAUCUGGAGGAACACCGGUGGCGAAGGCGGCAUCCUGGGUCGGUAUUGACGCUGAGGAGCGAAAGCCAGGGGAGCAAACGGG